rnacentral:rRNA from 1 species
UGCCUACGGGAGGCAGCAGUGGGGAAUAUUGGACAAUGGGCGCAAGCCUGAUCCAGCCAUGCCGCGUGAGUGAUGAAGGCCUUAGGGUUGUAAAGCUCUUUCGGCGGGGAAGAUAAUGACGGUACCCGCAGAAGAAGCCCCGGCUAACUUCGUGCCAGCAGCCGCGGUAAUACGAAGGGGGUUAGCGUUGCUCGGAAUCACUGGGCGUAAAGCGCACGUAGGCGGGUUGCUAAGUCAGGGGUGAAAUCCUGGAGCUCAACUCCAGAACUGCCUUUGAUACUGGCGACCUUGAGUCCGGGAGAGGUGAGUGGAACUGCGAGUGUAGAGGUGAAAUUCGUAGAUAUUCGCAAGAACACCAGUGGCGAAGGCGGCUCACUGGCCCGGUACUGACGCUGAGGUGCGAAAGCGUGGGGAGCAAACAGGAUUAGAUACCCGGGUAGUC